CCUACGGGCGGCAGCAGUGAGGAAUAUUGGUCAAUGGCCGUAAGGCUGAACCAGCCAAGUCGCGUGAAGGAAGAAGGAUCUAUGGUUUGUAAACUUCUUUUAUAGGGGAAUAAAGGUAUCCACGUGUGGAUAUUUGCAUGUACCCUAUGAAUAAGCAUCGGCUAACUCCGUGGCAGCAGCCGCGGUAAUACGGAGGAUGCGAGCGUUAUCCGGAUUUAUUGGGUUUAAAGGGUGCGUAGGUUGUUUUUUAAGUCAGCGGUGAAAGUUUGUGGCUCAACCAUAAAAUUGCCGUUGAAACUGGAAGACGUGAGUGUGUGUGAGGUAGGCGGAAUGCGUGGUGUAGCGGUGAAAUGCAGAGAUAGCACGCAGAAGUGCGAUUGCGAAGGGAGCUUACUGAGCCAUAACUGACGCUGAAGCACGAAAGCGUGGGGAUCAAACAGGAUUAGAUACCCGAGUAGUC
rnacentral:rRNA from 1 species